CAGGUGGUCAAGGCUAACAUCACGUGCCCCUCACAGCAAGCUCUGAGAAGAGCACAGCAUCGUUUCUGUGGUGUUCCUACCUAGAAGGAAUGGUCUGCGCACUACGUGAUGCACCGGAGAAAGCAGGGCAUUGCACCAGGUGUCAGACCAGAUGCGCACAGGCAGACACUGGUGGUCUCAUUCUCUGCGCAUUUCACUCUGUAGCAUCCUUCCAGAUGCAUCACCACAACCGGCCCAGCCUAACCACCCCCAGACGCAGCUUCCUUUUGCCGUCGUUGGCUCAGGGCAUGCCGGAAGAGUCCAGAAGCCGGGCUGCAGCCAGCAGGAAGCCAAGUCUCCAGCAUACUUCCCUCAUCAUUAAACGGACUACACACAGCAGCAGGCAGAGAGCCCAGGAGCUGCCGCAGAGAAUUUAUUUAUACCCAUUUGGAAUUUCCUGACCAACUAACAGCCUCCUGGCUGCGGGGUCUAAUUCCAGCACUCCAGGCGUCAGAGAGACAGCAAAACCUACCAACCAACAGAAUCGCCAGCAAGGACCUUAACAGCAACAAAUAAAGAGGUGAAGACAGAUCUCUCCCAGACCCCUUCCGAUUUUUCCAGCACCCUAUCCUCAUUUUCUUUAGACACUUGAAAUGCUGACCUACAAAUACCGUUGCAAACCUGCUAAUUCUAGGAAGGACUGAGGAAAGCGACAAAUGCUUUCUGCUUUCUCCCCUAACUUUAUUCCCUCCCCCAAAGCCUCCAGGGUUGAGAAAGGCUCCCUGUUAUAAUCCGAGCAACAGCUCAGCAGCCUGUCUGCUUCGGGUCGUGAUUCAGUCCUACACUGAGCCCAGACUGGGUGAGAGGCGAGGGGUUCCUCUGCUUGCUCUAGUCUUCUUUAAUGCAACGUGUGAUUUGAAGGCUAAAAACACUUCUGGUUGUAAACCACAGACCCGAGCUUUUAUUUAUUUAUUUCAAAUUCUCUGACACAUUUUUGUCCAAAUUCGAUCACAUGACUUUCAAGGACGCAGACUCAGGCCCCAAACAAGUGCAUUCUGUUUUAGGAUGACAUCUUUCAGCAGCAUGUGGUUUAUAUGUUUUAAAACAUUAAGAAUGAUAUGUUGCUCCAAUGGUUUAAAUACAUCAUCUGAAAAAGAAAGGAAGGAAGGAAAAAGAAACAGAAACAGUACUUUAAAACAUACUGUCUACUUGGCCUAAGAACACUGGAUAAAAGCGACUUUAGAGGAACAAGAUUUACUGAGCUCUGUCUAUGGGGCAAACAAGCAAAACCCGUUCUAAACAAUAAAACAGAGAUUAACAAAGAUUAGGGAAGACUCUAAAUCGCCUGCUUUGUGAAAUUCAAAAAGGGUACAGCUACGUGUGUGGAGAGAGGCAAAAUUUUAUAAGAAUCCGCUGAAUUAAUCUUGUUUGACUGGUUCAUUUUAGUGGCUGUACAC